AGUUCAUGAUCCGAUCAGAUGGUUGAUCAACGAUUAAGAAUCAUUCUAGGGUUAAAUGAUCAAUACGAUUGACAUUUAACCCAGUGCAAGUGUUGCAGGAGGAUCGAUUAGCAAUUCGAUUGCUAAUUGGCUUAAUUUGAUUAAGCCAAUGGGAUGAGAUUAAGUCUAAUUAAAUAUAAUUUAAUUAGAUUUAUUUUGGACUUGAUUGGAUCAAGUCCAAUUGGUUUAUUGGAUAAGCCAAGUGCAAGGAAAGACUAGUCCUAGUUCAACUAGGACUUGGGUCAAUCUAAUUUCUAAUUUGAUUAGAAAAUUAAAUCAGAUUUAAAUCUAAUUUAAUCUGAUUAAAUUAGGUUCUUAAUUAGGUUAAGAUCUAUUUUAAUU
rnacentral:lncRNA from 1 species